UUCUAAUAUGGCAGAUUAGUGCAAUGGCCUUAAACUCCAUAUAUAAAGAUUAACACUUUUUUUAGAAAA
rnacentral:tRNA from 1 species